CAGGCUAGAAGUUUGCCGACAGAUAAGCUCAGGACUACUUAUGUGUGUUAAUGCCAUGAGAAGUUGCGGCUCUUCUGGAAACAAAGAUCAACCCACUUGUGGCUUCAGGGUAGUGAUUCUAAUUAAACAAUGAUGGACUACCAAGACCAAUGUAUCCAAAUUGUUGGAAAGGAGAAAAUGAACUUUAUUGUGUUGGGGCUUGCAAGAAGGGACCUGUAUAGAGCUAGAAUGGAUGCCCAGAAUACAGCGCAACACAUUUUCAAGCUAAUCUAAAAGAAAAUCACCAACUUUGAUCAAAACGUUACACUUUUAUUGAAUGGGAAGAUGAUGAAAUGAAUGAAUGUUUCAAGAUGGGCAAGAAAAGAAGAAGAGUGAGAAAAGUGCCAUUGAGAUUUCUUCAAAGAAAGCAAGCGUUUCUUUUUGACACAAUCAAGGCCACAACGAUCAUGGUUUGUGGGCAUGCCAUUCAUCUGGAUUGCUACAUGAAGUUGAUCGACCAGGAACAAUACCAGUGUCCCAUGCUCAAGAUCGGUGUCUAAUACGUCCAAAACAUGGCAAAGAUUAGACCAAGAGGUAUGUAAUUGCUUAUGGCAUCUCUGGAAAUUGAUUUCAUUAACAAUUGCUAUAUGUUUUUGAAGCAUUUUCAUACCAUUACACUUUUGGGGAAAAAAAAGUUAUUUCAGAAUGCAUGGUUUGAUAUAUUGGAUUAAAAACAAAUUUUUAAUUAAGAAAUAAUUGUUAAGAGGUUUUCCAAUAAAUAGCAAGAUACUAUGCCUCAAUUUCAACUUUUAGCUACCAACCAACAGAAGAAAUCAAAGUAUGUUGGUAAUAUUAUACCCAAUUUGCGACUUUAAUUGUUAGAAUGAGGAAUUAGUGCAGGUGUCUUGCAAUAAGAAAAAAAAUCUUUAUAAACCACAUUGUUAUCUAUUAAUCGAAAAUUUUGAAAACCUUGAUGCUAUCGAUCAAUUUUUUGUUGAUUGGAGUCUAUGGAAAGCGAGAAAUAAGUUGGUGUUUAACAAGUUGAAGAAGUCCGCAGAUUAAAUAACGUAGAGCUUUAAGCACAAGCUUUUAAUUGGAUUAAACAUAACAUGUCGAUUUGGAAGGUCAAGAAUGGUGCAAAUGGUAUGAAAAUCCCGCAGGUACUUUGAAUAAGUGUAUCACCAUUUGAUUGGCGUCAUGGGAGGCGCGAUUCCAAUAUAUCCUUUUUGUUAUGGAACAUCACGUAUUGUAUGAAUUUAUAGGGCUUGCAAGAGAUAAAAAUGAAGAACAUGGGAGGCUAUUUUUUAAGCGAUUUAGUUUUUUUUUUUUCACGGAACAAUGUAUUUGUUUUCUUAAAUCGUCUUCUUUUAAGUAAUUUGAUGUAACUUACAGUCUCUUUUAUUGCCGAAUGCACUUUCAUAUAAAACUUCUUUUUGUCUUUCAAAUCUUUCAAAUCUGUGAACACAUAGUUCAACCAAGGUAUAGCUUGUAGUCGUUCAAAACCUUGUCAUGUCAAACAACACUAUAGAGUUUUAAUUUAAUUAUCAAUAUCCGAUGUUUUAUUCA